CCCGCACAAGCGGAGGAGCAUGUGGUUUAAUUCGAUGAUACGCGAGGAACCUUACCUGGGCUCGAACGUAAGAUGACUGUAGGUGAAAGCUUACAUCUCUUCGGAGCAUUUUACGAGGUGCUGCAUGGUUGUCGUCAGCUCGUGCCGUGAGGUGUCGGGUUAAGUCCCAUAACGAGCGCAACCCCUACCUUUAGUUGCCAUCAGGUUAAGCUGGGGACUCUAAAGGAACUACCUACGCAAGUAGUGAGGAAGGCGGGGAUGACGUCAAAUCAGCACGGCCCUUACGUCCAGGGCUACACACGUGCUACAAUGGCCGAUACAGAGGGCAGCUACCUGGUGACAGGAUGCAAAUCUCCAAAGUCGGUCUCAGUUCGGAUCGGAGUCUGCAACCCGACUCCGUGAAGUUGGAUUCGCUAGUAAUCGCGCAUCAGCCAUGGCGCGGUGAAUACGUUCCCGGGCCUU
rnacentral:rRNA from 1 species